UGUCGUCAGCUCGUGUUGUGAAAUGUUGGGUUAAGUCCCGCAACGAGCGCAACCCUUAUCCUUUGUUGCCAGCGGUCCGGCCGGGAACUCAAAGGAGACUGCCAGUGAUAAACUGGAGGAAGGUGGGGAUGACGUCAAGUCAUCAUGGCCCUUACGACCAGGGCUACACACGUGCUACAAUGGCGCAUACAAAGAGAAGCGACCUCGCGAGAGCAAGCGGACCUCAUAAAGUGCGUCGUAGUCCGGAUUGGAGUCUGCAACUCGACUCCAUGAAGUCGGAAUCGCUAGUAAUCGUGGAUCAGAAUGCCACGGUGAAUACGUUCCCGGGCCUUGUACACACCGCCCGUCACACCAUGGGAGUGAGUUGCAAAAGAAGUAGGUAGCUUAACCUUCGGGAGGGCGCUUACCACUUUGUGAUUCAUGACUGGGGUGAAGUCGUAACAAGGUAACCGUAGGGGAACCUGCGGUUGGAUCACCUCCUUA
rnacentral:rRNA from 2 species